rnacentral:rRNA from 1 species
UACGUAGGGCGCAAGCGUUGUCCGGAAUUAUUGGGCGUAAAGAGCUCGUAGGCGGUUUGUCGCGUCUGCUGUGAAAUCCCGAGGCUCAACCUCGGGCUUGCAGUGGGUACGGGCAGACUAGAGUGCGGUAGGGGAGACUGGAAUUCCUGGUGUAGCGGUGGAAUGCGCAGAUAUCAGGAGGAACACCGAUGGCGAAGGCAGAUCUCUGGGCCGUAACUGACGCUGGAGGAGCGGAAAGCAUGGGGAGCGAACAGG